AGAGUUUGAUCCUGGCUCAGGAUGAACGCUAGCUACAGGCUUAACACAUGCAAGUCGAGGGGCAGCAUGGUCUUAGCUUGCUAAGGCCGAUGGCGACCGGCGCACGGGUGAGUAACACGUAUCCAACCUGCCGUCUACUCUUGGACAGCCUUCUGAAAGGAAGAUUAAUACAAGAUGGCAUCAUGAGUCCGCAUGUUCACAUGAUUAAAGGUAUUCCGGUAGACGAUGGGGAUGCGUUCCAUUAGAUAGUAGGCGGGGUAACGGCCCACCUAGUCUUCGAUGGAUAGGGGUUCUGAGAGGAAGGUCCCCCACAUUGGAACUGAGACACGGUCCAAACUCCUACGGGAGGCAGCAGUGAGGAAUAUUGGUCAAUGGGCGAGAGCCUGAACCAGCCAAGUAGCGUGAAGGAUGACUGCCCUAUGGGUUGUAAACUUCUUUUAUAAAGGAAUAAAGUCGGGUAUGGAUACCCGUUUGCAUGUACUUUAUGAAUAAGGAUCGGCUAACUCCGUGCCAGCAGCCGCGGUAAUACGGAGGAUCCGAGCGUUAUCCGGAUUUAUUGGGUUUAAAGGGAGCGUAGAUGGAUGUUUAAGUCAGUUGUGAAAGUUUGCGGCUCAACCGUAAAAUUGCAGUUGAUACUGGAUAUCUUGAGUGCAGUUGAGGCAGGCGGAAUUCGUGGUGUAGCGGUGAAAUGCUUAGAUAUCACGAAGAACUCCGAUUGCGAAGGCAGCCUGCUAAGCUGCAACUGACAUUGAGGCUCGAAAGUGUGGGUAUCAAACAGGAUUAGAUACCCUGGUAGUCCACACGGUAAACGAUGAAUACUCGCUGUUUGCGAUAUACUGCAAGCGGCCAAGCGAAAGCGUUAAGUAUUCCACCUGGGGAGCUGUCUCUUAUACACAUCUGACGCUGCCGACGAUCUUACGCGUGUAGAU
rnacentral:rRNA from 1 species